CGAAUGGUGUAACCAUGGCCACGCUGUCUCCACCCGAGACUCAGUGAAAUCGAAAUCGCAGUGAAGAUGCUGUGUACCCGCGGCUAGACGGAAAGACCCCGUGAACCUUUACUAUAGCUUCACAGUGGACUUUGAGCCUGCUUGUGUAGGAUAGCUGGGAGACAUUGAAGCGGUGACGCCAGUCAUCGUGGAGUCGUCCUUGAAAUACCAGCCUGGCAUGUUCGAGGUUCUAACCCAGGCCCGUUAUCCGGGUCGGGGACAUUGUGUGGUGGGUAGUUUGACUGGGGCGGUCUCCUCCCAAAGAGUAACGGAGGAGCACAAAGGUACCCUCAGCACGGUCGGACAUCGUGCAAUGAGCGUAAAGGUAGAAGGGUGCUUGACUGCGAGACCCACAAGUCGAGCAGGUGCGAAAGCAGGUCUUAGUGAUCCGGUGGUUCUGUAUGGAAGGGCCAUCGCUCAACGGAUAAAAGGUACUCCGGGGAUAACAGGCUGAUACCGCCCAAGAGUUCAUAUCGACGGCGGUGUUUGGCACCUCGAUGUCGGCUCAUCUCAUCCUGGGGCUGAAGCCGGUCCCAAGGGUAUGGCUGUUCGCCAUUUAAAGUGGUACGCGAGCUGGGUUUAGAACGUCGUGAGACAGUUCGGUCCCUAUCUGCCGUGGGCGUUGGAGAUUUGAGAGGAGCUGCUCCUAGUACGAGAGGACCGGAGUGGACGAACCUCUGGUGUUCCGGUUGUCACGCCAGUGGCAUCGCCGGGUAGCUAAAUACGGACGGGAUAACCGCUGAAAGCAUCUAAGCGGGAAGCCUCCCUCAAGAUGAGAUCUCCCUGGGCACUUGAUGCCCCUAAAGGGCCGUGGAAGACCACCACGUUGAUAGGCGGGAUGUGGACGCGCUGUGAGGCGUGAAGCUAACCCGUACUAAUUGCCC
rnacentral:rRNA from 1 species